rnacentral:rRNA from 1 species
AGCUAAUAGAUACCCAGGUAGUCCCAGCAGUAAACGGUGCGCGUUUGGUGUGAGCAGAUUCGACUCUGUUCGCGCCGGAGCUAACGCGUUAAACGCGCCGCCUGGGAAGUACGAUCGCAAGAUUAAAACUCAAAGAAAUUGACGGGGGCCCGCACAAGCGGUGGAGUAUGUGGCUUAAUUCGAUGCAACGCGAAGAACCUUACCUGGGUUUGACAUGCAUCUCUAAGGAGGUGAAAGCUUCCGAGGGUAGCAAUACCCGAUUUGCACAGGUGCUGCAUGGCUGUCGUCAGCUCGUGUCGUGAGAUGUUGGGUUAAGUCCCGCAACGAGCGCAACCCUUGUAUGCUGUUGCUAUGCUUACGCAUAGCUCUCUGCGUAGACUGCCCCGUGAAACGGGGAGGAAGGUGGGGAUGACGUCAAGUCAGCAUGGCCCUUACACCCAGGGGCUGCACACGUACUACAAUGCUCAGUACAAUUAGAACCUG